rnacentral:other from 1 species
CACAAGCUACAUUGUACGUAUUCAAAUAAGUUUUAACCUCUAACAGAUGAAUAGGGAGUUUUAUAUAGAAAUUGAAAUGUCGAGCCGUCAUUAUGUAGCGGAAGACAGGAAUUUUUCUGCAAGCACCCACUUAGUGAAGUGGUGGUUUAAAACUUUUUUACUAAAUACGGCAAUUGUGGCUAUAA